rnacentral:lncRNA from 1 species
UAGAUUUCCUCCUUUGGAGUGCUGAAAACCGUAAACCCUAAGUCUUCAUACCUUGGGUAUUUUGGUUUUCUAAACUCCUCAGAUGUCUGGUAGACCUUUCCAUCGUGUUUUGGUCUCCAAGAUGGUUCUCCUUUCUCAAACUUCUGAUAUUUCUUUUUUGGUGCUUCAUAUGCUUUUUUAUUGCUUAUGGCACCUCUCUCUUUUUCUUUUUCUUUCUCAUACUCUUCAGAAUUUAUAUAUUUCUGGGCCUUUGUUAGCAGGUCCUCCAUGCAUUUUACAUUACUGACGUUUAGCUUUAUUGCUAAUGGCGUGUUCAUGUCUAGCCCUUUUGAGUAUGCG